rnacentral:tRNA from 1 species
UAUCAAGUGGCCGAAAUAAUAGGCGCAGGUCUUUUAAACCUUAAAUGAAUUUUUCCUUGGUAA